rnacentral:rRNA from 1 species
UACAGAGGGUGCGAGCGUUGUUCGGAAUUACUGGGCGUAAAGAGUGUGUAGGCGGUGUUCUAAGUCUGUUGUGAAAUCUCCCGGCUUAACUGGGAGGGUGCGGCGGAAACUGGAAUGCUAGAGGAUGGGAGAGGUAAGCGGAAUUCCUGGUGUAGCGGUGAAAUGCGUAGAUAUCAGGAGGAACACCUGUGGUGUAGACAGCUUACUGGACCAUUUCUGACGCUGAGACACGAAAGCGUGGUAGCAAACAGG